rnacentral:misc_RNA from 1 species
AAGGAUCAUUAUUGAAUGAACUUGGAGUCGGUUGUCGCUGGCUGUCUUAUUUGGCAGCAUGUGCACGCCUUCUCUUUUCAUCCACACACACCCCUGUGCACUUGUGAGACUGGAGACCGGUAAAAAAAAGUCUUCAGUCUGCUAAAUCCAUAUACAAACCCAUUUAAUUGAACUGAAUGUAAAUUGAUGUAACGCAUCUUUAAACU